AUACRUCAAAGAGUUGAGAAAGAGAAUUUGGGAGAUAACUCAUUUGAGAAACGAUGGAACGACGGUGAAUGAAACUACACAAGAGAAAUUGUCGGAACUCAAAUCAUAUGCCUCUCAAGUGAUUGAUGGUACACUUGACAUGAACAACGACGAGAUUUUUGUGCAAGUCUUUGGACCAGAGAAACAUGGGCGUGUUCGAGGUUAUGG